rnacentral:rRNA from 1 species
GAUGAACGCUGGCGGCGUGCCUAAUACAUGCAAGUCGAGCGAACAGACGAGGAGCUUGCUCCUCUGACGUUAGCGGCGGACGGGUGAGUAACACGUGGAUAACCUACCUAUAAGACUGGGAUAACUUCGGGAAACCGGAGCUAAUACCGGAUAAUAUAUUGAACCGCAUGGUUCAAUAGUGAAAGACGGUUUUGCUGUCACUUAUAGAUGGAUCCGCGCCGCAUUAGCUAGUUGGUAAGGUAACUGCUUACCAAGGCAACGAUGCGUAGCCGACCUGAGAGGGGGAUCGGCCACACUGGAACUGAGACACGGUCCAGACUCCUACGGGAGGCAGCAGUAGGGAAUCUUCCGCAAUGGGCGAAAGCCUGACGGAGCAACGCCGCGUGAGUGAUGAAGGUCUUCGGAUCGUAAAACUCUGUUAUUAGGGAAGAACAAAUGUGUAAGUAACUAUGCACGUCUUGACGGUACCUAAUCAGAAAGCCACGGCUAACUACGU